rnacentral:rRNA from 1 species
AUACGUAUGUCGCAAGCGUUAUCCGGAUUUAUUGGGCGUAAAGCGCGUCUAGGCGGCUUAGUAAGUCUGAUGUGAAAAUGCGGGGCUCAACCCCGUAUUGCGUUGGAAACUGCUAAACUAGAGUACUGGAGAGGUAGGCGGAACUACACGUGUAGAGGUGAAAUUCGUAGAUAUUUGUAGGAAUGCCGAUGGGGAAGCCAGCCUACUGGACAGAUACUGACGCUAAAGCGCGAAAGCGUGGGUAGCAAACAGGAUUAGAUACCCUGGUAGUCCACGCCGUAAACGAUGAUUACUAGGUGUUGGGGGUCGAACCUCAGCGCCCAAGCUAACGCGAUAAGUAAUCCGCCUGGGGAGUACGUACGCAAGUAUGAAACUUAAAGGAAUUGACGGGG